UAGGGAAUCUUCCACAAUGGACGCAAGUCUGAUGGAGCAACGCCGCGUGAGUGAAGAAGGUUUUCGGACCGUAAAGCUCUGUUGUUGGUGAAGAAGGAUAGAGGUAGUAACUGGCCUUUAUUUGACGGUAAUCAACCAGAAAGUCACGGCUAACUACGUGCCAGCAGCCGCGGUAAUACGUAGGUGGCAAGCGUUGUCCGGAUUUAUUGGGCGUAAAGCGAGCGCAGGCGGAAGAAUAAGUCUGAUGUGAAAGCCCUCGGCUUAACCGAGGAAUUGCAUCGGAAACUGUUUUUCUUGAGUGCAGAAGAGGAGAGUAGAACUCCAUGUGUAGCGGUGGAAUGCGUAGAUAUAUGGAAGAAUACCAGUGGCGAAGGCGGCUCUCUGGUCUGCAACUGACGCUGAGGCUCGAGAGCAUGGGUAGCGAACAGGAUUAGAUACCCUGGUAGUCCAUGCCGUAAACGAUGAGUGCUAAGUGUUGGGAGGCUUCCGCCUCUCAGUGCUGCAGCUAACGCAUUAAGCACUCCGCCUGGGGGAGUACGACCGCAAGGUUGAAAC
rnacentral:rRNA from 1 species